rnacentral:rRNA from 1 species
UACGAGGGGGGCAAGCGUUGUUCGGAAUUAUUGGGCGUAAAGGGUGCGUAGGCGGUCUGACAAGUCUGAUGUGAAAUCUAUGGGCUCAACCCAUAGUCUGCAUCGGAAACUGUCGGGCUUGAGUUCGGGAGAGGGAUGCGGAAUUCCAGGUGUAGCGGUGAAAUGCGUAGAUAUCUGGAGGAACACCGGUGGCGAAGGCGGCAUCCUGGACCGGCACUGACGCUGAGGAGCGAAAGCCAGGGGAGCAAACGGG